rnacentral:rRNA from 1 species
AGCGAACGCUGGCGGCAGGCUUAACACAUGCAAGUCGAGCGGGGAAAGGUAGCUUGCUACCUGACCUAGCGGCGGACGGGUGAGUAAUGCUUAGGAAUCUGCCUAUUAGUGGGGGACAACAUUCCGAAAGGAAUGCUAAUACCGCAUACGCCCUACGGGGGAAAGCAGGGGAUCUUCGGACCUUGCGCUAAUAGAUGAGCCUAAGUCAGAUUAGCUAGUUGGUGGGGUAAAGGCCUACCAAGGCGACGAUCUGUAGCGGGUCUGAGAGGAUGAUCCGCCACACUGGGACUGAGACACGGCCCAGACUCCUACGGGAGGCAGCAGUGGGGAAUAUUGGACAAUGGGCGAAAGCCUGAUCCAGCCAUGCCGCGUGUGUGAGGAAGGCCUUUUGGUUGUAAAGCACUUUAAGCGAGGAGGAGGCUACUUGGAUUAAUACUCUAGGAUAGUGGACGUUACUCGCAGAAUAAGCACCGGCUAACUCUGUGCCAGCCGCCGCGGUAAUAC